ACGUAGGGGGCGAACGUUAUUCGGAAUCACUGGGCUUAAAGGGCGCGUAGGCGGGCCGGCAAGUCAGGGGUGAAAGCCCCCAGCUCAACUGGGGAAGUGCCUCUGAUACUGCCGGCCUCGAGGGAGGUAGGGGCGUGCGGAACUUCCGGUGGAGCGGUGAAAUGCGUAGAUAUCGGAAGGAACGUCGGUGGCGAAAGCGGCGCGCUGGACCUCUUCUGACGCUGAGGCGCGAAAGCCAGGGGAGCAAACGGGA
rnacentral:rRNA from 1 species